rnacentral:rRNA from 1 species
AACGAACGCUGGCGGCGUGCUUAACGCAUGCAAGUCGAACGCGAAAGGGACUUCGGUCCUGAGUAAAGUGGCGCACGGGUGAGUAACGCGUAGAUAACCUGUCUUCAUGUCUGGAAUAAUACGCCGAAAGGGGUACUAAUACCGGAUAUUCUUGCUUUUCAUAAGUUAUGCAAGCAAAGGUGGCCUCUGCAUAUGCUACUGCAUGAAGAGGGGUCUGCGUACCAUUAGCUAGUAGGUGGGGUAAUGGCCUACCUAGGCGACGAUGGUUAGCGGGUCUGAGAGGAUGAUCCGCCACACUGGCACUGGAACACGGGCCAGACUCCUACGGGAGGCAGCAGUGAGGAAUAUUGCGCAAUGGGGGAAACCCUGACGCAGCGACGCCGCGUGAGUGAAGGAAGGCCUUCGGGUCGUAAAGCUCUGUCAAGAGGAAAGAAGUGUACAAUGGCUAAUACCUGUUGUAUUUGACGGUACCUCUAAAGGAAGCACCGGCUAACUCCGUGCCAGCAGCGGC